UACGGAGGGAGCUAGCGUUGUUCGGAAUUACUGGGCGUAAAGCGCACGUAGGCGGCUUUGUAAGUUAGAGGUGAAAGCCCGGGGCUCAACUCAGGAACUGCCUUUAAGACUGCAUCGCUUGAAUCCGGGAGAGGUGAGUGGAAUUCCGAGUGUAGAGGUGAAAUUCGUAGAUAUUCGGAAGAACACCAGUGGCGAAGGCGGCUCACUGGACCGAUAUUGACGCUGAGGUGCGAAAGCGUGGGGAGCAAACAGG
rnacentral:rRNA from 1 species